UACGUAGGGGGCAAGCGUUGUUCGGAAUUACUGGGCGUAAAGGGCGCGUAGGCGGCCAACUAAGUCAGACGUGAAAUCCCUCGGCUUAACCGGGGAACUGCAUCUGAUACUGGAUGGCUUGAGAUUGGGAGAGGGAUGCGGAAUUCCAGGUGUAGCGGUGAAAUGCGUAGAUAUCUGGAGGAACACCGGUGGCGAAGGCGGCAUCCUGGACCGGUAUUGACGCUGAUGCGCGAAAGCCAGGGGAGCAAACGGG
rnacentral:rRNA from 1 species